AAACUAAAACUUUCAACAACGGAUCUCUUGGUUCUGGCAUCGAUGAAGAACGCAGCGAAAUGCGAUAAGUAAUGUGAAUUGCAGAAUUCAGUGAAUCAUCGAAUCUUUGAACGCACAUUGCGCCCUCUGGUACUCCGGGGGGCAUGCCUGUUCGAGCGUCAUUGCAACCCUCAAGCACUGCUUGGCUAUGGGCGUCGCCAUCCCGGGCGUGCCUGAAUUCCAGUGGCGGUCCAGUAGAGACUUUGAAGCGUAGUAAGAUUCUCCAAUCCCGCUUGCAAAAUAUCUAUUGCUGGGGCCCGUCAGACAACCCCAUCUCCACGAUUGACCUCGGAUCAGGUAGGGAUACCCGCUGAACUUAAGCAUAUCAAUAAGCGGAGGAAAAGAAACCAACAGGGAUUGCCUCAGUAACGGCGAGUGAAGCGGCAAUAGCUCAAAUUUGAAAUCUGGCCCUUUCGGGGUCCGAGUUGUAAUUUGUAGAGGGUGUUUCGGGUUGAGACGCCGGCCUAAGUCCCUUGGAACAGGGCGUCAUAGAGGGUGAGAAUCCCGUAUGCGGCCGGUGAUCGAGUCCAUGUGAAACCCCUUCGACGAGUCGAGUUGUUUGGGAAUGCAGCUCUAAAUGGGUGGUAAAUUUCAUCUAAAGCUAAAUACUGGCCAGAGACCGAUAGCGCACAAGUAGAGUGAUCGAAAGAUGAAAAGCACUUUGGAAAGAGAGUUAAAAAGUACGUGAAAUUGUUGAAAGGGAAGCGCUUGCAACCAGACCUGCCGUCGGGUGAUCAGCCGUCGUU
rnacentral:rRNA from 1 species